AACGAACGCUGGCGGCGUGGAUAAGACAUGCAAGUCGAACGGGAACUUCAGCUGUAGCAAUACAGUUGAAGUUUUAGUGGCGAACGGGUGCGUAACACGUGGGCAAUCUGCCGAGAAGUGGGGGAUAGCUCGCCGAAAGGCGAAUUAAUACCGCAUAUGAUCAGCUAAGACAUCUUAGCGACAUCAAAGCCGGGGCAACCUGGCGCUUUUUGAGGAGCCCGCGGCCUAUCAGCUAGUUGGUGAGGUAACGGCUCACCAAGGCUAUGACGGGUAGCUGGUCUGAGAGGACGACCAGUCACACUGGAACUGAGACACGGUCCAGACACCUACGGGUGGCGGCAGUCGAGAAUUUUUCUCAAUGGGGCAACCCUGAAGGAGCGACGCCGCGUGGAGGAUGAAGGCUUUCGGGUUGUAAACUCCUGUCAUUUGAGAACAAGGUGCAUCGGUUAACUGCCGGUGCAUUGAUAGUAUCAGAAGAGGAAGAGACGG
rnacentral:rRNA from 1 species